CUAGUAUUGAGGUAUGAUGGUGAAAGUUGAUAGAAGGUGGAAUAGGUUGAUGCAUGUUCACUCAGAAGAAGACAUUUUUUUAUUUCUCAUUUUUUGAAAUCAAUUUUGAAAUUAGAAUUGUGAGAGUGAGUUGAUUGGGUGUCAUUGAGCUUCCCAUUUCCAAUUCCACACUUAAGUUUAAAUAGUAAUCACUAGGGUUGCAAAAUUUAUUUAAUU
rnacentral:lncRNA from 1 species